rnacentral:rRNA from 1 species
GACGAACGCUGGCGGCGUGCUUAACACAUGCAAGUCGAACGAUGAAGCCUUUCGGGGUGGAUUAGUGGCGAACGGGUGAGUAACACGUGGGCAAUCUGCCCUGUACUUUGGGAUAAGCCUUGGAAACGGGGUCUAAUACCGGAUAUCACUUACCUCCGCAUGGGGGUUUGUUGAAAGUUCUGGCGGUACAGGAUGAGCCCGCGGCCUAUCAGCUUGUUGGUGGGGUAGUGGCCUACCAAGGCGACGACGGGUAGCCGGCCUGAGAGGGUGACCGGCCACACUGGGACUGAGACACGGCCCA